UACGGGGGGGGCAAGCGUUGUUCGGAAUUACUGGGCGUAAAGGGCGCGUAGGCGGCCUGCUAAGUCGGAUGUGAAAUCCCUCGGCUCAACCGAGGAACUGCAUCCGAUACUGGCGGGCUUGAAUCCGGGAGAGGGAUGUGGAAUUCCAGGUGUAGCGGUGAAAUGCGUAGAUAUCUGGAGGAACACCGGUGGCGAAGGCGGCAUCCUGGACCGAUAUUGACGCUGAGGAGCGAAAGCCAGGGGAGCAAACGGG
rnacentral:rRNA from 1 species